CCUACGGGAGGCAGCAGUGGGGAAUAUUGGACAAUGGGCGAAAGCCUGAUCCAGCAAUGCCGCGUGAGUGAUGAAGGCCUUAGGGUUGUAAAGCUCUUUUACCAGGGAUGAUAAUGACAGUACCUGGAGAAUAAGCUCCGGCUAACUCCGUGCCAGCAGCCGCGGUAAUACGGAGGGAGCUAGCGUUGUUCGGAAUUACUGGGCGUAAAGCGUGCGUAGGCGGCUAUUCAAGUCAGAGGUGAAAGCCCGGGGCUCAACCCCGGAACGGCCUUUGAAACUAGGUAGCUAGAAUCUUGGAGAGGUUAGUGGAAUUCCGAGUGUAGAGGUGAAAUUCGUAGAUAUUCGGAAGAACACCAGUGGCGAAGGCGACUAACUGGACAAGUAUUGACGCUGAGGUACGAAAGCGUGGGGAGCAAACAGGAUUAGAUACCCUGGUAGUCCACGCCGUAAACGAUGAUAACUAGCUGUCCGGGCACUUGGUGCUUGGGUGGCGCAGCUAACGCAUUAAGUUAUCCGCCUGGGGAGUACGGUCGCAAGAUUAAAACUCAAAUGAAUUGACGGCUGAGAGNGCGAGCGACGACGAGGAGAG
rnacentral:rRNA from 1 species